rnacentral:rRNA from 1 species
UACGUAGGUGGCAAGCGUUGUUCGGGAAUUACUGGGCGUAAAGCGCAUGUAGGCGGCAGCGCAAGUCGGGGCGUGAAAAUCCCACGGCUCAACCGUGGAAGUGCACUCGAAACUGCGCAGCUAGAGUCCUGGAGAGGAAGGUGGAAUGCUUGGUGUAGAGGUGAAAUUCGUAGAUAUCAAGCGGAACACCGGUGGCGAAGGCGGCCUUCUGGGACAGUGACUGACGCUGAGAUGCGAAAGCGUGGG